UUUACUUUUCGGAAUUAAAGCCACAUUCUUCAUUUUCGCAUGGAGAAGUUAACUGUAGUAAACUAUUCAUAUUGUGGGUUAUGAAAUUCGCGUGGAGUCCUUUCAAAAUUUGUCGAAUCACGACGAAUUGUGCAUUAAAACAUAUUUAUCAAACGUCUCUCUCAUCUGAGAAUCAUUUUAAUCGAGUAAUAUCUUCGUAAUUGCUCAAUUUUGGGUCUUCGCCCUUCAUACCGAUUUCAGUUGAAAAUCCCGAAGGAGCUCUGUGUUUUGGCCUUAUUUCCAAUUAUGGUGGUGAUGAAUGAACAACAAUGAACGAGAACAUUCUUCGGUAAACAUCUUUUAUCGAAGAAAUGUGGUUAAUAUAUUUUAUUUAAGAAAUAUUUUUUCUUCUGUAAACA